ACUCAGACGCGGUUCUUCUUCUUCUUAUACAAAUGAUUUCGCCGCUCUUCCGCUUCAGCCGUCGUGACCUCUGCUUCUCACAUUGUUCUGAUUCGGUUUCGCUGUUCAUCUUCUAUCAGAACGAUCUCCCUCGCGAUGCUCCUCUCAGUCACGACUCCCUUCGUUUCCGCCUUACUCCGAUUCUUUGA